AGUAUAAAUACCUUAAGACGCGGAGUUAAGAGGAAAGGAAGAAGAAAGAAAGAAAGAAGUUUGAGAGGUUCUUCCACUGGUGUUCGGCGCACGAUCACGGAUCAAUGCAAAACUCACAAAGUCAACAAAAGGUAUUUUUACCUUCUUAAAUUUUUUUUUACAUAGUUUAUCAAUACGCUUUUCUAGAUUAGGUUGAAAAUACAAUUAACAGCUGUAAACUAGUGAAAUUCAUAAUUCAUACAGGGGAAGGCUAGUUUUAGCAUGUAGCAUAGCUAAUUAUUAUCCGGCAGGGCACCAUUAGAUAAAAAUAGAAAAGUAGGUAACAUGUAUAAUUGAGAAAUGUAUUUUAUGCUCAAACUUUAUUUUUUAUUUUCAUUAUACAGAUCCACGUAUCUAUUUGCAACAUGAACGAUAAAUAUUGCUGUCCCCUUUGCUCAUACAAGCUACAGAACCAUAUAGCACAAACUGCUAUGGUUCAACAUAACGAUGCCUUUAAAUGUUCUUGAAGCUGUUUUCCAGGAGGUGAUACCAGCACAGGGAGACUCAGCUUACCUCACCUUGGCAUUGACCUGCAAGUGCUUUGAAGCCGUUGUGUCUGACCCAGUUUUUAGGAAGAAGACUCACUUUGCUUGGCUGGAUGGUGAGAUCAACUGGGGUAAAUUUUCAAAAACAUUCAAGGCAGAAAAC